rnacentral:rRNA from 1 species
ACGAACGCUGGCGGCAUGCCUAACACAUGCAAGUCGAACGAGACCUUCGGGUCUAGUGGCGCACGGGUGCGUAACGCGUGGGAAUCUGCCCUUGGGUUCGGAAUAACUUCGGGAAACUGAAGCUAAUACCGGAUGAUGACGUAAGUCCAAAGAUUUAUCGCCCAAGGAUGAGCCCGCGUAGGAUUAGCUAGUUGGUGAGGUAAAGGCUCACCAAGGCGACGAUCCUUAGCUGGUCUGAGAGGAUGAUCAGCCACACUGGGACUGAGACACGGUCCAGACUCCUACGGGAGGCAGCAGUGGGGAAUAUUGGACAAUGGGCGAAAGCCUGAUCCAGCCAUGCCGCGUGAGUGAUGAAGGCCUUAGGGUUGUAAAGCUCUUUCAGUGGGGAAGAUAAUGACGGUACCCACAGAAGAAGCCCCGGCUAACUUCGU